UGCGCAGGUGGGGAUGUAAGUCAGUGGUGAAAUGUUGCCGCUCAACGGUAAAAUUGCCAUUGAUACUGCAUCUCUUGAGUAUGGUUGAGGUAGGCGGAAUGUGUUGUGUAGCGGUGAAAUGCAUAGAUAUGACACAGAACACCGAUUGCGAAGGCAGCUUACUAAGCUAUUACUGACGCUGAGGCACGAAAGCGUGGGGAGCGAACAGGAUUAGAUACCCUGGUAGUCC
rnacentral:rRNA from 1 species